rnacentral:rRNA from 1 species
ACUCCUACGGGAGGCAGCAGUGGGGAAUAUUGCACAAUGGGGAAACCCUGAUGCAGCCAUGCCGCGUGUGUGAAGAAGGCCUCGGUUGUAAAGCACUUCAGUAGGAGGAAGGUAGUGUAGUUAACACCUGCACUAUUUGACGUUACCUACAGAAGAAGCACCGGCUAACUCCGUGCCAGCAGCCGCGGUAAUACGGAGGGGUGCGAGCGUUAAUCGGAAUUACUGGGCGUAAAGCGCAUGCAGGCGGCCUGUUAAGUCAGAUGUGAAAGCCCGGGGGCUUAACCUCGGAAUUGCAUUUGAAACUGGCAGGCUAGAGUCUUGUAGAGGGGGUAGAAUUUCAGGUGUAGCGGUGAAAUGCGUAGAGAUCUGAAGGAAUACCAGUGGCGAAGGCGGCCCCCUGGACAAAGACUGACGCUCAGAUGCGAAAGCGUGGGGAGCAAACAGGAUUAGAUACCCUGGUA